rnacentral:rRNA from 1 species
GGGUCAGUAGGUUGGUCGUGCCACCGGUACGUACUGGUCUCACUGAUUCCUCCUUCCUGAAGAACCGUAAUGCCAUUAAUUUGGUGUUGCGGGGAAACAGGACUGUUACUUCGAAAAAAUUAGAGUGUUUAAAGCAAGCUAACGCUUGAAUACAUUAGCAUGGAUUAAUGAAAUAGGACGAUCGAUCCUAUUUUGUUGGUUUCUAGGAUUGACGUA